AAUGAAUUUAAGAAUGAUCAGUAUCAAAAUUUUGCACAGCUUGGUAAACACUUCUGCAGCCUGUACUAAAAGGAGAUUCUACAAUGAAGCUCCCUUACUGAGAAGCUAAUAGGCUAGGAAAAGCACAAUUUAAACAUACUUUCCUGGUGAGAGCCAUUGAUGUCAUCUCCAGACCAGCUCAGCUUUUGAGGUGAUCAUUACCAGAGGUGGAGUUGCACGUGUGCACUGGCUGAGCAAGUUCCUCCCAGUGCUCAAGUCACAGGACAAGCCAAAUGGCAGAAAGUGAAGACAUACGGAAUAUACUUGACGCAGGACACUAUCAGUGUGAAGUGAGUCAAAGUUCUCAUGCAACUUUUCACAGCAGCUGCAGCUGAAGUCAGAGAUAAAGAGAUAUGAGGUAGGACAUCAGAGGUAUUUGAUACCUCAGGCAAGGCAAUUCCAGUUUAUCAGCAACUCAGGAUCUUUUUGUCUCUUGACUUUCCAUCCCUAAGGUGAUACCCUAACCAUAUGGUAGAAAAUAACUCCUACUGCAUCUUCAUUCAAGCCAGUGGGAAAGGGAAAAAGAAGGAGAGGGUACACCUUUUUCUUUCAGAGCAAAAUACAAAAGUUGUGCUCGCAUCCAUUGGCCACAGCUUAGCCACAUGGCCACACUUGGCCACCAUGGAGCCUGAAAAACGCAGUUUAGGAUGUUCUGAGCAGCUGGGUACCUGGUCAGAAAUCAGAGAUUCUAUUCAUAUAAAACAGUAGUUUUAAACUCAUACCCUGAGCAGAAUUUUAGAAACGUGUGGUGGUAUUUUGUUUGACACAAUGACUGGAAGUUCCUCCUACCAUUUAACUUGAAGUUGGAUGAACUGCAAUGUCCAGAAUAGCCUUGUGUAAUGAAGAGUUGUUUUGUGCUCUGUAUGUACGCCUUUUCAAAAUCCUGAAGGAUGUCCAGGUGAGUGGAAAAAAAAUUAUAAUUUCCUAAGCGUAGAGCUUAACUCCAUUUUCCAUAUAAAUGUGCAAUUGUAACAUAAACUGAAUUUUCUGGAGGUGUACCUACUCCUUCAGUCAAGGAAAAGUUGUUCUUUAUUAUAUUUGUAUCUUUAGCCAGAGUUGUUCACCAUUUCAGAAAAAAGCACGUCAUCUACAACAAGGCUGCUCAUGAUAUUUGAGUCAUCAGCAGAAGUCACCGUGUCAGUCCCCAUUUGUAAGUGCCACAUUCAUCCUGGUUCACAUUUAGGUAUAAUCAUCUUACUAUUUUGUUUCAUUUUCUAGUGUAGUUAUGCCUGGGCAUUUAUGUAUUAAAUUAUAUAUUAUUUUUAAUUAACUAAUUUAAUUUAAAUAAGUAAUGUAAAUUGUUUUCUUUUAAAUUAUUUUCUUUGUUUUAUACUUAGGGCAUUUGGGGUUCUUUUCAAGGUAUUUGUAUAAGUAAGGUAGGUUUCAGGAUAGGAAAGGGGGCAUAGUAAACUAUUCAGAGUAAAAAUGGGAUGUUUAGUCUGAUAGGAUUAAAAAUCCCUACUAUGGAAGGAGAAAACAGAGACUGGGGGACAAGGGACUACCUCUCCCACAAAGAAACACUCAAGUCCAACUAGGGAGAUGGAAAUUACGAGUAAACUGAGACAUCGGAAAAUAUGUAUAAGUAGAAGCUUUAAGACAAAAAAAAAGUAUACAGUAAGAAUACAAGAAGUCAGUUAGUUGUACAAAAAUAAUGGAGUGGAGACAUGGAGAGUAGCCCAGCCUCGUUAAAAGUAGAACACUACAGCGAAUCUCCUUGAGCUCCUGCUGCUGACUUCUACGAGGCUAUCUUAAUCUGAAUGGAUUUCCAGGUCCAGUUUUCCUGUGCACCAGCUGUGUUCUAACUCCCACUUUCACAGUAGUUAAUUCUGACUUGUUUCCUACUCCUUCUGCUGCCUGCUAUUUCUCUUCUCCUGGGUUCCUUUGCACCUGAGAUUAUUUGAGUAUAUGUGUAUUCAACCAGAAGAGCAUAACAUCGAUGAAGACUAAGAACAAGUACAAAACUCUUCGAGUUUGGCAAAUUGGAGAGUGGGGCCAUGCGGAGCGUGCUAAGAGAAUUAUGCUACCAUUGAUCGAAAUGAAGACUGUUUUGGAUUUGCAAGAAAGGAGAGUAUUUCCUUUGUGAUAGGAGCUCCCAGGAGACAAGACAUCUUAACUGAGAAGAAUGAACUACUAAUGAUGGAGUAGAAGACUCUUGGGCAUAUUAUAGAAGAUGAUAUUUUGGGAUAAGACAGUCUUCAUUUGCUCUCUAAUCAUACCAUGAGGGUGUCUAGCCAGAUUAUUAUCCACAUACACAUUUUAGGAAGUACAAUUUGUGACAAAUGUAAAAAUUGUGGAAUCUCAGCUCUUGCUAUAAGUUAUCCCUUCUAAUCCAUUCUGAAUAUUACUAACAGAAUGUUAUAGGUCACUCAUUGUGUUCUCUACAUAUCUUGUAUCUUUAAUUUUUUAACAGUUUUGAAUAUCCUCUUUUGUGAUUAAUAAUAAUAACUCUUUUUUACGAGUUCUGGCUAGGAUGCAGGCUUUUUAUGUACAUUAUCAUAUUCUCUUCAACCACACUGUGAAGUGUUGUCCGCAAAGGCACAUGGUUAGAAAGUGAGUGAUAGAAGCAAGAUUCAAACCCAAAUUCUCUGGAGAAUAUAUGCUCGUUUCACCAUGAGCUCUCUCUCUCCUUAGAUGCAACCCACAUUUCCUCCAGGGCCCAACAUAAGCUCCCCCUCUCCAGUGUAGCGUCUUGUCUGUCAGUCCUCUACACAGUGACUCCUUCUCCUUUGCAAUUCUUAUUGUCAUUUGGAACCACAGCAGCUUUUAUCCAAAGAUGGCCCUCCAGUGACCCACGCCCCUUGAUGUUCAGUCCCUUAACAGGCUGUCCCCGUGACUUGCAUUUUGACCCACAGUAUUUGACAGACAUGAUACUGCAUAACUUCCAAGGAUAGGUCAUAAGAAGCCUUGCACCUUUUUCCUCAGCCUCCAGAAACACUCACUCUGGGAGUACAGGCUCUGAGGGAAGCAAAAUAUCAUGUGAGAUGUCUGAGACCAUCUGAGAUGACUGCACCGUGCGGAAGUGCAUGGCAGCCACAAGAGGAUGCUGUGUGGAGAGAGACAGAUGCCCACAUAGCCCCUAUGGGUACCAGGCAUCCCAACAGAGGCACCACACAUACGAGUAAAGGAGUAAAAGAGCAUUCUGGACAUCCAGCCCAGUCGAGCCUGCAGAUGAUUCCAGCUCCAGCUUCCAUGUGUCAGCAACUGCAUGAGAGAUCCCAAACAAGAACCACCCAGCUGAGCCCAGUCAAGACACAGAACUAUGACUGGUAAUGAUAAGGUGUUUUUUAAACCACUAAAAUUUGGGGAGGUUUAUUUUACCUCAGUAAGUAUUUGGAACAGGAACUUACCAUAUAAUAUCCUCCCUCCCCACUGCUGGCACGUCGUAAUAUCUAUGGGCUGCUAUUCUAUCCAUUUUUAGAAUUUUAGUAAUUUACAUAAUUGAUCAAUUGCCAGCAUUUUGAUUGAAGCUUUUUGGAGGUUUGUCUGAUUUGAGAUGCAUCCUCAGCUUAGCACCUGGGACAUGCUAUGAUUUCAACAAGUGUUGAUUGAUUGAUUGAUAAGCUCCUUCAGAUCAGAGACUAUGUCAUGCACACUUGUAAUUGUCCUACAAUGUCCGGCACAGAGCUUGACUGUAGACCUUCAAGGAUAUUUGUGGGUGAGGUUUAUGUCAAUCAGCACACUGGAACAUACUGUGAGAAAUGAUGGAUCCCUCUUGUGAUCUGUUUUCUAUAACUCCCUCCUUAGUCUGUCCACGUGCCCUGGGCUUCAGCCUCAUGAGGCCAUACUGGGAGCAAAUACAUAAUCUGUGUAUUUAAUCAUGCUGCUUCCUCUGCUUGGAAUGUCUUCCAACCCCCUACCCUACCCAUUCCACUUUGUGAAAACUUAUUCAUUCUGCAAAAUCCAGCUAAAAUAUUGCCUUCUCUUUACACUUUUCCUGCCCUCUUACAGCACCAUAGUAAUCCCUUUUCUUGAGUUCAUGGUACCUAUUGAGUACUUACCACGGGGCAUUUCACUUCAUUGUCAUUGUCUCUGUUAGCUAGUGAGCUUUUCAAGGACUGGAGCUGUAGCUUAUUUAACUUUGACUCAUCAGCACAGUGAAUGGCACAAAGCAGGUGGUCAAUAAAUGACUGCUGGAUGAAUGAAUACAUUUUACAAGGAGAGAACAACCGUGUGAGAGAUAAGAAAUAAAUACAGUGUUGAGUGUUUUGUCACCACAAAGUGCUAUUAAUAGACAAUUGGCACCAAGCUCUCUGGCUGCUCCUGCCUAACUCAUGCUUUAAUCUUCCCACAAAGCCAACAGCCAUCCUUUAAUCAAUGCGGUUGCCUUUCUCUGAACCCUCUCUACUUUGUACUUUUUUUUGUCCUGAGAUGCCUGAAGCCUCUUCAUAUUCAGCCCAAAAUAGCACUGACCUUUCCGCUGCUGUAUCACCUGGCAGCUCAUAUCUAAUUUCCUUUGGCAAGAGCCUCUCGCUCGCUUUUAGCAUUUCUGCUUUCCAGGUUUCUCUCACUGCACCCUAUGUCGCUGAUUCUGUUUUUCCCUCAGAGAAUCUGGUUUCCAUUUUUUUCUGGUUUGAACUCUACCUGGCUAUUUAUUUCUUUUCCCCCAGGCAUUCAAUGGUACAGGAACGGGGAGGACUCGGGAGAUGACGGAGGAUAGCUUGUGGUGAUUUCUCCACAGGGUAGGAGCACACUUAAGACCUGGAAGAUAGCACUGCCCCAGCUCAUGCUGCCCCUCAACAGAUUGCUGUCCCCUUCCAGCCUUUCCAUGGAUUCAGGGGAAGCGUUUCAUUGGGUUGGGAUUCUCUUUUUAUCUUUUUUUGUUUUAUUUUUCCUUUCCUUUCUUUCUUCCUCUUUUUGUUUUUUUCUUUUUUAGUUUGGAUGAUAUCCAUCCCAGAUUGCAUGCUUAGAAAUCUGGGGGACACGUUAAGAAAAUUCUUACUCAGCAAUUCUUGGGAGCCAUCUUCCUCAAGGGCCAGCCCCAGAUUCCAGCUGACAUUAUUCUUUACAAAAUGGCUUCCCGUAGAGAACCUGAAAAAUAGCUCUGUCUCCAUACAUCCUACGAACUGAAAGGAGACUUUUAUAACAUGGAAGUCUUUGUGAGUCCCAGAAACUGACACUGUAACUCAGACUCAAACAAACGAAGAAAUUGUAAAAGUAAACAACAUACACUCGUGAAAAUCACGUAUUAAAAAUGACAAAUACAGCACGUCUAGAAUAUCUCCCAUCUUCUUAUGCCUUUGUGCUUCUCUACGUGCUAUUUCUUCAGCUUACAAUAACCUUACUCACCUUCUCGUUUUAUUGAAAUCCAACUUAUCCUUCAAAGCACAGUUUCAGAUGCCACUUCUUCCUUGAAAAGUCACCUUCUCCCCCAGAGGCAGUUUCUCACUCUCUCCUCCAAAUUCCUGCUGCCUUUUCUUUCUAGCAGUUUCCUAGCUUGUAAAACAGUCAACCUUAUGUUUGAGUCUCUUGUAGAGGCAUUAUUUCUCACCCUAAACUGUAAACUCCUUGGAGGCAGGAAGGCUGUCUUAUUCAUUCCUAUCACCUCUACCAACAAAAGCUACACCUUUUCAGACCAUGUCCUAGAAUGGCUCAUUGUAAUUUUGCUUUCAGAGUGAAAAAACAUGCAGAGCUCAGCCCUGCUGUGAUUGUCUGAGGGUUCGCAUCUUCUUAGACCACCACAGCUUGGAGGUUACAAGAGGCCUCUCUAGGUGUUCUAGAGUUCACCUCAGUGGA